CACAAACAUAGAUGGGACUGACACUCGCAUACACACAUGCGAAAGAUGGACACAAGCACAAAAGCAGAAGGGGGGGGGGGGAAAGGAAAGCCUUUAGAGGCUCCCCCUUGCUCCCCCUCCUUGUCGGCUUUUGUUGGGUGAAAGCCCAACACAACACAUUCACACACUGUAUAUGCCCCUUUUUGUUUUAACCGCUUGCCACAUAGUGCUCACACUUGCUCUUCCUCUUUCACGAGAGGAAAGAGCGGGGCGAGAGCACAGGUGUGGGGAG
rnacentral:misc_RNA from 1 species